rnacentral:rRNA from 1 species
UUUCCUACGGGACGCAGCAGCCGCGGUAAUACGUAGGGUGCGAGCGUUAAUCGGAAUUACUGGGCGUAAAGGGUGUGCAGGCGGCUGAGUAAGACAGAUGUGAAAUCCCCGGGCUUAACCUGGGAACCGCAUAUGUGACUGCUUGGCUAGAGUGCGUCAGAGGGAGGUGGAAUUCCACGUGUAGCAGUGAAAUGCGUAGAUAUGUGGAAGAACACCGAUGGCGAAGGCAGCCUCCUGGGACGCAACUGACGCUCAUACACGAAAGCGUGGGGAGCAAACAGGAUUAGAUACCCGAGUAGUCCGAG